rnacentral:misc_RNA from 1 species
GGAGAGAUUAUUUUUUGAGAGUUGUUCCCACAGCUCUCAGUACGGCAAUGGAUGUCAACCUAAGCAAUGCAUCCCUUGUUUUCAUAUCAGUGACAUUUGCUACUAUGUGCAAAUCUGCAGCACCGAUCUUUCUCCUACUCUUCGCUUUUGCUUUCAGGUUGGAGUCUCCGAGUUUGAAGCUGCUAGGGAUCAUGUUGAUUAUUUCUAUUGGGGUAUUAUUAACAGUUGCAAAGGAAACGGAGUUUGAAUUUUGGGGGUUUAUCUUUGUUAUGCUAGCUGCUGUUAUGUCUGGGUUCCGCUGGACUAUGACUCAGAUACUUCUGCAGAAAGAAAUCUACGGUUUAAAAAAUCCACUCACACUAAUGAGCUACGUUACUCCAGUAAUGGCUCUUUCAACUGCUAUGCUGUCUCUGAUUUUUGAUCCAUGGCAAGAGUUUGGAAGCAGCAGUUACUUCGAUAGCUCAUGGCACAUAACUAGAAGUUGUUUGCUGAUGCUUUUUGGUGGAACCUUGGCUUUCUUUAUGGUGUUGACGGAAUAUAUUCUCGUCUCUGUUACUAGUGCAGUAACAGUGACAAUAGCAGGAGUCGUAAAGGAGGCUGUCACUAUCGUGGUUGCUGUGUUUUACUUCCAUGAUAA